rnacentral:rRNA from 1 species
AACGAACGCUGGCGGCAUGCCUAACACAUGCAAGUCGAACGAGACCUUCGGGUCUAGUGGCGCACGGGUGCGUAACGCGUGGGAAUCUGCCCUUGGGUUCGGAAUAACAGUUAGAAAUGACUGCUAAUACCGGAUGAUGACUUCGGUCCAAAGAUUUAUCGCCCAAGGAUGAGCCCGCGUAGGAUUAGCUAGUUGGUAGGGUAAAGGCCUACCAAGGCGACGAUCCUUAGCUGGUCUGAGAGGAUGAUCAGCCACACUGGGACUGAGACACGGCCCAGACUCCUACGGGAGGCAGCAGUGGGGAAUAUUGGACAAUGGGCGAAAGCCUGAUCCAGCAAUGCCGCGUGAGUGAUGAAGGCCCUAGGGUUGUAAAGCUCUUUUACCCGGGAUGAUAAUGACAGUACCGGGAGAAUAAGCCCCGGCUAACUCCGUGCCAGCCGCCGCGGUAAAAC